UUUCAAAACACAAACUCAGAGUCAUCAUCUCCUUGUCUCUCCCUCUCGCUAAAACCAGGCCACCGGAACUCCAUCUCCGGUCACACCCCCCCCCCCCCGACAACUCAGGUGCCCCCCUCCUUCUCCUUCCUUUCUUUGGUGGAACGACAACCACCCCACCCCCCUUGAUUAGCAAGACGAACCACCACCACCGGCGUCUAGUGGUGGCGGCGACGGUACAGAGGAGAGAGAGAGCGCCGGAGAUAGGAGCGGCACCGCCGCUCACGGCAGCGGCGGCGGUGGAUCAAGCAGCGGCGGCGGCGGUGCGUCUGUUUCACAGCAGUUGACGGUGGUUCGGAGCUCGGGUCUCAUUGUUACGGUCCGUAUUCUGGUCGGUGGGUUUCGGGUUCAAGACAUGUUCAGUUUCGGGUCAACCUUGUUCAAGUCAGGUUUUGGGUUUAAAUGGUCUCGGUCAGAGCUGUGUCACGGUUAGCUUCGGGUUCGGCUCAGUCAACGACUCAGUCGAGUUGGUUCAACUCAGUUUGGUUCAGAUACAUGUUCGGGUUAGGUUCGCUCAACACCGAUUUCUGUUGAUUCAGUUUUAGCACGGGUCUUGCGGAACGAGUAACUCGGUCUUGGUUCGGUCAGUCUUGAUUUCGGGUUCUACUCGGGUUAGACUCAGGUCCAGUAGAAGAGAUGAGGUUGCUGUUGGUUUGGAUUCACAAGAAAAUCAAUAUGCUUUUGGUUCACGCUGUUUCAGUGUCGGGUUACAAAAAAAAAACAAGAGGUUCAGCUUUGUUUCGGGUUUCGCGGCACGACCGGGUCCUAGUCAACUCAGACAGGUCCUGAUUAACUCAGUUCUGUUCGAGUCAAACACGGUCGACUCGGUCAACACCCGAGUCAACUCGGGUCAACAGCGGGUCAACUCAGUCAAGAUGGUCAAACUUGGUCAACGGUAGUCAGUCAAGACCCGGAAUUCUAUAGAUGCACGCUAGCGAGUCACAUUAUUGGAAUGACAUCACGGAAUCACGUUAAGCUAGCUUUGCACAGGAAUGUCAAGGUUACAUUUUCAAAGCUAUGGAACGGUUGGAAUAGGAGAACCCAUGGGAAUUCGAGUAAUUAGCGGGCGUUAAAUUUCUAGAAGUCUUAGCUUAUUUGCUUCCGCUGUGCAAUGAAGAUACUAGUCCAGUCACGCCAGCUCUGAUAUUUCGGGGUGUGACAUUAUUUCUGUUGGAUUGAUUACCUAUACAACUUGUUUGCUUGAUUAUGUUUGCUGGGUUUUUUUAUUUGAUUUGUGUAUUUCUAUAUGAAAUGGGUGUUGGAUGUUUUUAUUAGAGAUGCUUGACGGGUCUGUACAGCGGUGCCGACGGUGCUCGGUGGAGCCCCGUGGCGCCCGCUGGUGCCGGGGGUGCCCCGUUGUGCCGAUCGAUAUUUUUUUCCUACAAUUGAAGCUGUGUUGAAUAUGUUUU
rnacentral:lncRNA from 1 species